rnacentral:rRNA from 1 species
AACGCUGGCGGCAGGCUUAACACAUGCAAGUCGAGCGGGCGUAGCAAUACGUCAGCGGCAGACGGGUGAGUAACGCGUGGGAACAUACCUUUUGGUUCGGAACAACACAGGGAAACUUGUGCUAAUACCGGAUAAGCCCUUACGGGGAAAGAUUUAUCGCCGAAAGAUUGGCCCGCGUCUGAUUAGCUAGUUGGUGAGGUAACGGCUCACCAAGGCGACGAUCAGUAGCUGGUCUGAGAGGAUGAUCAGCCACAUUGGGACUGAGACACGGCCCAAACUCCUACGGGAGGCAGCAGUGGGGAAUAUUGGACAAUGGGCGAAAGCCUGAUCCAGCCAUGCCGCGUGAGUGAUGAAGGCCCUAGGGUUGUAAAGCUCUUUUGUGCGGGAAGAUAAUGACGGUACCGCAAGAAUAAGCCCCGGCUAACUUCGUGCCAGCAGCCGCGGUAAUACGAAGGGGGCUAGCGUUGCUCGGAAUCACUGGGCGUAAAGGGUGCGUAGGCG